rnacentral:rRNA from 1 species
UACGGAGGGUGCGAGCGUUGUCCGGAAUCACUGGGCGUAAAGGGCGCGUAGGCGGCCUGACAAGCGUGUGGUGAAAGCUCGGGGCUCGACCCCGAGUCGGCCGUGCGAACUGUUGGGCUGGAGUGCUGUAGAGGCGGGCGGAAUUCCGGGUGUAGCGGUGGAAUGCGUAGAGAUCCGGAAGAACACCGGUGGCGAAGGCGGCCCGCUGGGCAGUGACUGACGCUGAGGCGCGACAGCGUGGGGAGCAAACAGG